rnacentral:misc_RNA from 1 species
GAUGAAGAACGCAGCGAAAUGCGAUACGUAGUGUGAAUUGCAGAAUUCAGUGAAUCAUCGAAUCUUUGAACGCACAUUGCGCCCCUUGGUAUUCCAUGGGGCAUGCCUGUUCGAGCGUCAUUUGUACCUUCAAGCUCUGCUUGGUGUUGGGUGUUUGUCCUUGCUCUAGUGGCGGGACUCGCCUUAAAGUAAUUGGCAGCCAGUGUUUUGGUUUUGAAGCGCAGCACAAGUCGCGAUUCAAGUCUAUACGCUAGUUUCCACAAGUCUUUUAUCACUUUUGACCUCGGAUCAGGUAGGGAUACCCGCUGAACUUAAGCAUAUCAAUAAGCGGAGGA